rnacentral:rRNA from 1 species
UUGAAUUUGGGUUUUAACUUAGAUUUGGGUGGCGGACGGGUGAGUAACGCGUAAAGAACUUGCCUCACAGCUAGGGACAACAUUUAGAAAUGAAUGCUAAUACCUGAUAUUAUGGUUAUAGGGCAUCCUAUAAUUAUGAAAGCUAUAAGCACUGUGAGAGAGCUUUGCGUCCCAUUAGCUAGUUGGAGAGGUAACAGCUCACCAAGGCGAUGAUGGGUAGCCGGCCUGAGAGGGUGAACGGCCACAAGGGGACUGAGACACGGCCCUUACUCCUACGGGAGGCAGCAGUGGGGAAUAUUGGACAAUGGACCGAGAGUCUGAUCCAGCAAUUCUGUGUGCACGAUGAAGUUUUUCGGAAUGUAAAGUGCUUUCAGUUGGGAAGAAAAAAAUGACGGUACCAACAGAAGAAGUGACGGCUAAAUACGUGCCAGCAGCCGCGGUAAUACGUAUGUCACGAGCGUUAUCCGGAUUUAUUGGGCGUAAAGCGCGUCUAGGUGGUUAUGUAAGUCUGAUGUGAAAAUGCAGGGCUCAACUCUGUAUUGCGUUGGAAACUGUAUAACUAGAGUACUGGAGAGGUAAGCGGAACUACAAGUGUAGAGGUGAAAUUCGUAGAUAUUUGUAGGAAUGCCGAUGGGGAAGCCAGCUUACUGGACCGAUACUGA